CACCAUCGUGAAUGAACUUAACAUUCCAAAUGUCGGCAACAUCGACACCACGGGGGUCAAUCGUAAGCUUUUGUCGGCUGAGGAUAUGCCUGAGUGGAUUAGUCAAGCUGACCGAAAACUCCUUCAAGCAAAACCAAUGGAUUUGAAGCCUAACGUUGUGGUUGCUAAAGAUGGUAGUGGGAAAUAUGAUACUAUUAACAAGGCCUUGGCUGAAGUCCCCGUGAAAAGUCCCAAUCGAUUUGUUAUUCACAUUAAGGCUGGUACUUACAAGGAACAAAUCAACGUGACUAAGCAGAUGACUAAUGUUGUAUUCAUUGGUGAUGGACCAACCAAGACAAUCAUCACAAAUGACAUUAGCGUCGCUAAGAAUCCACCGGUUAGAACAUACCGCACUGCAACUGUUGGUAAGUAGUAUUAUAUACAUAUAUAAGUUUUGGUGGUGAGGUAAGGUGGCUAACUAGCAUAUAUGUAUGCAUGUUUGUGAAAUAUUUUAGGUGUGGGUGGGGCUGGUUUCAUGGCCAAGGACAUUGGAUUCGAUAACUCAGCAGGACCCGAAGGUCAUCAAGCAGUUGCCUUUAGGGCCACUGCUGAUAGGGUCAUCAUGUUCAACUGCCAUUUCACUGGGUACCAAGACACUCUCUACGCUCACAGAGAGAGACAGUUAUAUAGCAACUGUCUCAUCACCGGAACGGUGGAUUUCAUCUUCGGGGAUGCGGCGAGCAUUUUCCAAAACUGUAUGCUCGUCGUGAGGAAGCCAGGGCCAGGCCAAAACUGCAUGGUUACUGCACAAGGAAGGAAUGAUCUUGGAACAAACUCAGCCAUUGUGCUUCAAAACUGCACCAUCUCGGGGGCCCCUGAUUACAUCCCAGUGAAGGAUAAGAACAAGGCGUACUUGGGGCGUCCUUGGAAACAAUUCGCUAGGUCCAUCAUAAUGCAAUCUAGGAUCGACGACAUCAUUCAACCAGAGGGUUAUGCCCCCAUGACAGGCACCAUAGGAAUAGACACUUCUUUCAUUGCCGAGUUUGGAAACAGGGGACCCGGUGCCGAUACCAGCCGUAGGGUAGCAUGGAAAGGUAUCAAAAAGAUAGAUAUAAAUGAAGCCAACAAAUGGACUCCUCGCAUAUUUCUCGAAUCCGAGACUUGGAUUUCGAGUUCCAGCGUUCCCUAUAGUCCCGACAUGGUCCCUGGAGUCUAAGCAGCUUAUUAUCAAUACCAACGCCAUUAGUUUGCUUAUUAUCAUAUCAUUGUUCUAAUUAUGUCGUUUUUUACUAAUUAAUUAAACAGUUUUUUUUAUCUUUUAUCUAUCUAUGUAUAUAUGUUGAAUUCUUUGGUUUCCCAAUUGUUGUUUCCAUUCACUUAUUAAUGAUGUUUGCAAAACCCAAAAAUUAAGUCAACGUUUAAAUAUUAUUGAACUUAAUUUAAUAUAAUUUUUUUAUGGAUUAUUUGGAUUGAUAAUGUUGUUUCCCAGAUACAUUCUUUAAAUAGAUUUAAUAAAAUUAUUAUUAUCAAACUUAAUUACAAGAUUUAAUAAAAAUUAGUUUAUUUAUAAUAAUUACUAAUAUAAUAUUAAAAAUUAAUAAAAACAAUUAUAUUAUAAAAAAUCAAUCUUAUUUUUUAUUUAUUUUUUAUAUGGACUUAAGCAAGCAUCCCACUCGUGGAAUCAAAGAUUUGAUCAAGCGGUAAAGAUUUUUGAAUUUGAGCAGAACAGAGAAGAACAUUGUGUUUAUAAACAUUUAGGGGAUGAAAAGGUGGUCUUUCUCUUUCUACAUGUCGGGUGAAAUUCUACUAGUUGAGAAUGAUGUAGGGAUAUUGUCAUCGUUUAAACUAUGGUUAACCCAACAAUUUAAUAUGAAGGACCUGGGAGAAGCUAAUUCUGUUCUGGGUAUUCGAAAGAACAAAGUGAUAGCACUAUCGCAAGAUUCAUACAUAGACAAGAUAUUGUAGCGCUAUGUUAUAAGUGAUUCGAAGAAGGGUAAUCAAUCUUCUAAUAUCGAGAAUUCACCUUUCUUUGGAGGAUUGUCCUAAGACACUGGAAGAAAAUGAGAACAUCAGAAAGAUUCAUUAUGCUUCAGCAAUAGGAAGUCUCAUGUAUGCUAUGUUGUGCAUGCAACCAAAUAUCUAUUUUGCAGUAGGUUUGGUGAGUCGAUAUCAGGUGAAUCCAAGACUAAGACACUGACAAACAAUUAGUACAAUUAAUAAUGAUCAAUGAAUAGAAAAUGUUAGGUUUUUUCGUAGGACUCGUCUUUCAGCUUAGUUAAGAUGCAUUGAUGGGCUCCUUGUAGUUCAUUUCUAUCUGUAUUAGUCCAACACCCAUCAUGUCAUUCUAUCUAUCUUGGAUUGUUUCUUUCUCUGAAUUUACCUUUUCAGCUUGCUUUAAUGACCGACAACUCUUUCUAUAGGUCACAACGAUUGAUGAUUUGCAAUGCCACAUGAUUACACAACCACCGUAGCCUGCACUUAGCAUUUUUGCCUCGUAAUAAGGGUGCAAAGUAUGGUUUAAACUUGUCACUUAUCAUGUCUCUGCUUGUGUCAUUGCUCCAAAGUAGCUUUUCAGAUAUACUUAAGGUAAUGGUUGGCACGGGUGUUGCUGAAUGAAUUAGCAAGUGAAUUUGUACUAAACUUCCUAAAUCUCAGAUCUACAAAUUUUUAAGUUAUUCUAUUUUUGGUUUACUAUAUUGCUUUAUUCGUUGACGACAUGUCUCUUGCAAUGUCAGUGCACUCCGUGAUGCUUAUCGCUCAUCUAUACUUAUUAACUGCCCAACUUGAUUGAGUCUGGCUAUAUGAGCAUAGGUUCUAUCUAUAUAUAUUUUUCCAAUUUUGUUCAACAUCCGAAAAAUUCCUAGGCCUUCAAAUCUCCAAGGUUCAUGGUUAAGGUCUAAAGGUAUGCAAUGGCUAAUCAGUUUAAGUUUAUCAACUAUGUCUAUUAAUUUUUUUUCUAUUUUGCCUUGAAAAUUCAUGUAUCAACAGACACUCUUCUACUAGCUCGUCCUUAAUUACCAAUGUUUCUAUUGGUUGAUCUGCAUUAUGCUACUAUUAUAUUUCAGCUUUGUUGGUAGAAUCAAAGGGUUUUAGGACAAUGAGUUUCAUGAUGGUCUAAUUCUUUGGCUUGCUAGCCAUUUUCCCCACUAGCUCUAUAUCUUCCCCUUCUGCAGUGGCGUUUAACUCGUCUGGAUACUAUUUUGUCUGCUGAGAUGACUAAUAGCCUAGGAUUUCUACUUCUUCACAAGCGUCUAUAAUUUCAUUCUCUUCUUUGCUCAACUCCGGACUUAGCACAUCAUGGUACCUUUUUUAUGGUAUAUCAUUGUGGUUGUUAUUAUCUUUGGAAAGAUCUUCAUACAAUCCUUCUUCAUGAGUAUUUUGAUCAUAAUCAAAGUCUUCGUCAGACCACAUAUAAUAGAAAUCAUUCGUGACUUUGUGCUGACUGAUUAUUUUGUGCCUAGGAUUCCUAAGAAUAAAGAAAUGUUAAAAAUUUUAAUUAACAAAAUAAUUUGAAAGUUGUAACUAUAAACCACAAAUUUCCUAAUUAUUCUUUUAAAAUGAAAAAAAUCAAAAUCAAUCUAGUGACGUUACCUCCCCGACAAUGGCGCCAACAACUUGACCGCCUUCGGACGUACUAACGCCCAGCGUGUGAAUACUGCAAUAAAAUGGAUAAUUACGAGAUGGUAUCCAUAAGUGUAUAGGUCGAGUUGUAAUAUAGUUUUUACAAAGAAGUAGGUGAGUACUCCGAGGAUCGUACCUAGGGGAAGCAAGUGUUAGAUUAAUUCUAACCUAAACAUUAAAAGAUCUAAUUAGUACUUUAAAUAAAUUAUACUACGAAAGUAUAUAAAAAGGGUUUUUAAAGGUUUUUAAUAAUAAUAAAAUCAAAUAACAUAAAUGAAAUAAAACUAAAUAGAUAGAAGAGUAGAGUAAAUUAAAUCUUGAUUAUGGGUGAUUAGCUUGCUUUAGUAAUCCUCAUCAACUGUCACUUCGGGUUCCUUGUCAAUCAACUAGUCACUACCCUAGCAGGAUCUUCUGAUCUUCCACUAACAUAACAAGUCAGCAAGAACUACUUAUCUUCUGACCUCACAGUUCAAACUGGUUUGGGGUAAAGGUGUUCACGAAUGGGAAGUGCCAAUUUUGGAUUAAUUCCCACUUAGAUGACUUUUCGGGGUUGUCAAACCUAGGUUUUGUUUUAUGUUCUUCCUUUUCCAAAUAGUUGAUCCCUUGAGUAAUCCUACAAAAUAGUUAUAUAGAUCGUACAUCCACUCGCUAAUCCCCCAUACAGGGACUAGUUCCUCAUAGCUUUCAUAGACAAUAUAAAAUAAAUAUAAAGAGAAAACAUGCUAAUUAAAACGACAAGAUAAAGUAAAUGAAAGAGUCUGGUUGUAUUUAUGUUAAUUGUGAAUCCCCAAUGUUUGAAUGCUUCCACAAUUCAUAUUUCUUGAAAUCAACAAGAACAACUAAAAGAAAUCUAAAACCUAAUAACGAAAGAAAUUUAAACUGAAUUUUACAAAGAGAACUUAGGCUAAAGGAUUGAUGUCCAUAACAAGUGACAAAUGAGUCUAUUUAUAGCCUUCAGGUGGCCAUCGUCCUUAACCUUAGGUUAGCCGACGUUUCUAAACUUGAAAGUUUGAUUGUGCAGACCAAAAUGCUCUUACUUUGUGUUUUGAUUUCAUCACAGAGUCGAUGUCGUGACACACCAGGAACUGUGUCGCGACAUAGCAACCAGUAUACUCCUUUGCAACUAUCUUUAGUCUGUGCCUCGACAUCCUCAGUCUGUGUCGCGAAAUUGAUGGUAGUCUUGAACUUUCUUCAUUCUGCUCAUUAUGUUGCGACAUCAAGCAUCGCAUGUUGCAACAUAGUGACCAGUAUCAGUUUAGUAUGCCUUCUAAAAGUCUCCUACACACUCACCAAGUGCGUUAGCUCUCCUUUAGGCCUUAUUCAACCCAUAAGGCUAAUAAAAGACUCAAUUUGCACAUUUUAUUAAAUGCAAAUAAAACUAAGAAAACUUAACUAAAACGUAACGAAAGUGCUUGUAUUCAAACUCUUCAAAUACGAAAACUAGUUUGAUAUGCUACACCAAAUUAUGGUAGAUCAGUUAUGCAUGCAAAAUAUAAAAGACAUAAUAGUGAGAUGUGAAAUUAACUUUAUUUAUUUAUUCAUCAUUCAAAUAAAUAGAAAAUAAUUACAUGUUCACCACAAUAUGGGUACAUUUCCCAACACUCUACUCGUCGGAACGUCAAGACAUUCGCGUUGUCAGGAAGAGCUUUCGUUUCUCAUUCGGACAAGACUAUCUGUUUGGGCCGAAUAGAGGCAUUCUCCCACAUAUUUGAUGAAACAAUUUAAAUUUAAAUUUAUUUUGUUAUGGUUUUUGGGACUAUAAUAUUUUUUAAUUUUGGGUUAUGGCAUGUGUUCUUUUUAAGUUUGGAUUUUUGCAUGCAUUCAAUUUCAUUAAAUUGAACAAACCAAAUUAAUCUUCUUAACAUCAUAUAAAAUAUGGUUUAGAGUAAAAAAUGAUGGUUUCACCUAAACAAAAAUCAACUAAGUUUACCCAAAAAUGUCACAACACAUAUUAAAUUUGGACUUUUAAGUUUAACUCAAUGUAAAAUCUUAUGUUUUUGAUAAAUAUAUGACUACUACCUAAGUUUUCUAAAAAUCAGAAAAAUAAAAGUUACGAUAACUGAACUGUUCUACUAGGCCAUUUCGGUGGCCAAUGUAACUUUCAAGAUCCAAUUAUAAUGCCUGGUUUGGGUCUAGGGAAGUUACAGUUACGGCUGAAAAUUUCAAGCAAUUGGAAAAAGAUGGAGUUGAACAGGUGCUCACGAGAGAAGAUGGCUAGAGACAAUUAAUGCUAACGGCGGGGAAUUGGAAAAAAUUACUAUUGACAAGCAAGUUUUGUCGGAUGUGAGUGAAAAUGUUGAAUUAUGGGGUGGUGAUGGUAGAAAGUCAAAUAUUGAAGGUGACAUGAAAGGGGUGACGUUGCUUAGUACUGAUAACAUAGGUGUAAAAUUGAAGUGGGAGUAAAUAACUGGGGCAAGGAAAGUAAGUGUUGGCAAGUCCAAUUUCAAGAUGGAUCGGACACUAGCGUUGGGCUAUUUAGAUGGGAAUAAGGUUACGUUGAAAUAGCUGAGGUGAUGGGUGGAGAAUGAGAUAAUAUAACUGCAGGCAAGGAAUUGGUUGAAAUUACGAAGAGGAAACUGAAUAGGAGUAUAUAGCCAAAGGAGACAGUAAAGUUUUUUUAGUUACGAGUUUAAGCCUCGACCAAAAAUUCAAUUACAUUAUUUAACGUUGAUCUGAUAACAAAAUGUCCUGCACCAUUAAAAGUAGUUGUGUGAAUACGUGCAACCCAAUUGCGCAAUCUCUAGCCCCUUUAGACAUCACCACAUCUACCGCCUUGAAGGAGGCAACAAACUUAUUUAAUAAUAUGAUUUGAAUUAAAUAUAUGUUUAAUAUUAGUGUACCGCAUUAUUUUACAUCAUAAUAUUAUGAUUAUAAUAAUUAUUAUUUCAAUUUCUACUCAUGCACAGGUUUGCUUUAACAAUAAAGAAUCCAUAUUAAUAGUCAAAUUUUAAACAUAUUAAAUAAAAAUAAAUAAUAAUGCAUUUUAUAAUAUUAUUUUUUAAAAUUAUUUUUAAAUCAUUUUAAAUAAUAAUAAUUUAAUUAAAUAUAAAUUUGAGAAUAAAUAUAUACAUUAUUAUAUUAUAUUAUUUAUGAUAUGAUAUCUUACAAAUGUUUCGAACAACAUUAGUUACCAUUUAAUCCACAAAGCUUUAAUUUAUAAGUGUCAAAGAAAAAUCCUAAAACACAAAAGAUUUAAAAAAACUAAUAUUUAAUUUACAAUUUAGCAUUUAAAUUAAAUUUAUAUAUUAAUUAUUUCGAUACUUACAAUAUCAAUUUAUUUCAAAAAUAUUUUACUCAAACAUAUAUAAAUAAAAAAAGUAUAUCAAUUACAUCUUAACAUUAGCCUUUUUUUUGAACAAUUUCAAAGCCCGACAUUUUAGAAGAAUAAGAAAUAGAAGAUUAAAACACCAUAGUUUUAUAGAGCCAUUAAUAUCCAUAAAAUUUAAACAAAUUCCCGCAGGGCACUCUCCACCAUGAAACAUUUUAAACUAAAUAUGGCCAUUUUUUUCGGUUUUAACUAAUUCAUUUUUUAAUAUAAAUAUGGAACUUCAAUAGCAUAUUAUUCAAGCUUCUGCUCAAGGGGCCAUAAGUGAUAAACAAUAAGAAGCCCCACAACUUCAAAUAAGGUUUUCUUCUUUCUUGCUUUCUUUUCUUUUCUUCAGGGGGAAAGAAAGAGAGAAGAAGAUACUUUUUUUGAAACAAAAAAAAGUUGUUUAAAAAUGGCGAAUAAUGCUAUUAUUGGUAUUUGUGCGGUGUUCUUGGUGGCCUUGGUGGUAGCCGUGGUGGUGGGUGUUACGCACAUAAAAAAUAAGAGCGAUGGUGAAGAGAUAUCGAGUUCGAACAAAGCCGUGCAAGCCCUAUGUCAACCCACGAAUUAUAAAGAGACGUGCCAGAAAAGCUUGGCGUCGUCAAAUUCUAGCGACGUUAAGGAGCUGAUAAGGACAGGUUUCCAAGCCGGGCUAGUCGAGAUAAAGAACGUGUUAGCCCAUUCAGUGACGGUCCAAGAGUUGAUCAAGGAUGAGAACAACAAAGCGGCACUUGGUGUCUGCCAAGAGGUGUUGGACUUAGCCAUUGAUGACUUUCAAAAGUCAUUCGACAUGCUAGGGGAAUACGACAUGAGCAAGAUCGGAAAAUACCUUUUGGAACUGAAGACCUGGCUAAGCGGUGCAUUCACGAGUCAACAAACAUGUAUAGACUCAUUCGCGGAAUCAAGUAACGAAUCAUCGCAGAAGAUGCAAUCAAUCUUGAAGACUAGCAUGGAGAUUACUAGCAAUGCUUUAGCCAUGCUUAAUGGGUUAUCCACCAUCGUGAAGGAACUUAACAUUCCAAACGUCGGCAACAUCGACACCACGGGGGUCAAUCGUAAGCUUUUGUCGGCUGAGGAUAUGCCUGAGUGGAUUAGUCAAGCUGACCGAAAACUCCUUCAAGCAAAACCAAUGGAUUUGAAACCUAACGUUGUGGUUGCUAAAGAUGGUAGCGGGAAAUAUGAUACUAUUAACAAGGCAUUGGCUGAAGUCCCCGUGAAAAGUCCCGAUCGAUUUGUUAUUCACAUUAAGGCUGGUACUUACAAGGAGCAAAUCAACGUGACCAAGCAGAUGACUAAUGUUGUAUUCAUUGGUGAUGGCCCAACCAAGACCAUUAUCACAAAUGACAUUAGUGUCGCUAAGAAUCCACCGGUUAAAACAUACCGCACUGCAACUGUUGGUAAGUAGUAUUAUAUACAUAUAUAAGUUUUGGUGGUGAAGUGUGGUGGCUAACUAGUAUAUACGUAUGUAUGUUUGUGAAAUAUUUUAGCUGCGGAUGGGGCUGGUUUCAUGGCCAAGGACAUUGGAUUCGAUAACUCAGCAGGACCCGAAGGUCAUCAAGCAGUGGCCUUUAGGGCCACUGCUGAUAGGGUCAUCAUGUUCAACUGCCAUUUCACUGGGUACCAAGACACUCUCUACGCUCACAGAGAGAGACAGUUAUAUAGCAACUGUCUCAUCACCGGAACGGUAGAUUUCAUCUUCGGGGAUGCGGCGAGCAUUUUCCAGAACUGUAUGCUCGUCGUGAGGAAGCCAGGGCCAGGACAAAACUGCAUGGUUACUGCACAAGGAAGGAAUGAUCUUGGAACAAACUCAGCCAUUGUGCUUCAAAACUGCACCAUCUCGGGCGCCCCUGAUUACAUCCCAGUGAAGGAUACGAACAAGGCAUACUUGGGGCGUCCUUGGAAACAAUUCGCUAGGUCCAUCAUAAUGCAAUCUAGGAUCGACGACAUCAUUCAACCAGAGGGUUAUGCCCCCAUGACAGGCACCAUAGGAAUAGACACUUCUUUCAUUGCCGAGUUUGGAAACAGGGGACCCGGUGCCGAUACCAGCCGUAGGGUAGCAUGGAAAGGUAUCAAAAAGAUAGAUAUAAAUGAAGCCAACAAAUGGACUCCUCGCGUCUUUCUCGAAUCUGAGACUUGGAUUCCAAGUUCCGGCGUUCCCUAUAGUCCCGACAUGGUCUCUGGAGUCUAAGCAGCUUAUUAUCAAUACCAACGCCAUUAGUAUGCUUAUUAUCAUAUCAUUGUUCUAAUUAUGUCAUUGUUUACUAAUUAAUUAAACAGUUUUUUUAAUCUUUUAUCUAUCUCUAUAUAUAUGUUGAAUUCUUUGGUUUCCCGAUUGUUGUUUCCAUUCACUUAUUAAUGAUGUUUGCAAAACCCAAAAAUUAAGUCAACGUUCAAAUAUUAUUGAACUUAAUUUAAUAUAAUUUUUUAAGGAUUAUUUGGAUUGAUAAUGUUGUUUCCCUAAUGUAGACAGUUUACUUUAAAUAGAUUUAAUAAAAUUAUUAUUAUCAAACUUAAUUACAAGAUUUAAUAAAAAAUAGUUUAUUAAGUAACAAUUACUAAUAUAAUAUUAAAAAUUAAUAAAAACAAAUAUAUUAUAAAAAAAUCAAUCUUCUUUUUUAUAUAUAUUUUUUAUAUAUGGACUUAAGCAAGCAUCCCGCUCAUGAAAUCAUAGAUUUGAUCAAGCGAUCAAGAUUGUUGAAUUUGAGCAAAACAUAGAAAAACAUUGUGUUUAUAAAUAUUUAGGGGAUGAAAAGGUGGUCAUUCUCGUUCUAUAUGUCGGGUGAAAUUCUAAUAGUUGAGAAUGAUGUAGGGAUAUUGUUAUCGUUUAAACUAUGGUUAACCCAACAGUUUAGGGUGAAGGACUUGGGAGAAGCUUAUUUUGUUCUGGGCAUUUGAAUCAUAAUGGAUCGAAUGAACAAAGUGAUAGCACUAUCGUAAGAUUCAUAUAUAGACAAGAUGUAACAACUCGUUUUUCAAUGGUAUCGAAAAUAGUGGUUUUGGGGCCACAAAUUCGAUGAUUAAGUUUGUAAAUAUUAUUAUUUAAUAUUUACGAGUCAAAUAAAGUUUUAAAAAGGUUUUCGAUUUGGUAAUUUAUGUUAUAUAAAUGAUAAAUUAAGUUGAAGUUGUAAGACCCUAAAGUCAAGUGGUUUUAGAAAAUGAGGUAUCGGUACCUCGUUUCUAUAUAUCGAGUCAUAAACAUUUUUAUAAAUAUUUACGGAGUGUUAUUAAGGUUGUAUUAAAGUUUCAUUAAGAAAUUUUAAUGUUUAAAAGGAUAAUUAGGUGAAAAGGUCUAAAUUGAAAAAUGUGCAAAAGUUGAAUGCUAUUACUUAAAUGGAUCUAAUAUAUAUGGAAAGGUAAAUUCUUGGACUUGGAUCGUAAUUAUGCCAUAUUUAAUGUGAGUGGAUAUUCAUAGGAAGGUUGCAUGGUAAAUCUUGUAAAUUUUAAAGGUUAUAAUAGUAAUUAAUUAAUAUAAACUAAAAUAACUUAACCUAAAAUUAUCAUCCUUUUCCUUCUUUAAUUUCUUUAACCGAAUGGCUAUGGUGGGUGAAGGAAAACCAUUCGGCCAAUUUAUUUUGGGGUGCUUGGUAAGCUAUUUUCACCCAUUUCUCUUAAUUUUUAUGUUUUUGAGAUCGUUGAAACUAGGUCUAGCUAGCUCGUACAUUCGAUUUUGAAAUUGUUAAAGGUAUUGAAUUUUUCCAUUGAUGAAUAUUGUGAAUUUAGAUAUUAAAUGAUAAAUUUGAGGUGUUGUUUAGUAUUUAAAAGUAUUUUGUUAAAUGAAUUUGAGGAAUUUCCCGAUUAGGGACUAAAUUGUUAAAAUAAUAAAAUAUAAGGAUUUGAUGUGAAAAUUUUAUAAAUAUGGGCUGUAUUGGGAGCUAUAAACACUCGUCUAAGAUCAAAUUUGGGUAAAAAUGGUUAAUCUACAUGUUUUAGGCUCAGGGACUAAAUUGAAUAAAAAUAAAAUGUUAGGGACAAUUUUGUAAAAAUGUCAAAAAUGACUAAAUUGCAUAAAAUAAAUUUUUUUACUAAUCUAUAGUAGUAAAUUGAAUGAAAUUAUUAAUUUAGAUCAAGAUCGAGUGAAAAAUCGAGAAGAAUAGAAAAUUACCAAAAUGCACAUAUACUUUGACAUUUCUGCAAUUUAGCUUUGUUAGUAUGUACGGUUAGCAUUUAACAUUAAUAUGAAUUGUUGAGUAGAUUAACAUGGUACAACUUAUAUAUUUAUUUUUAAUUGUUGAUAAUUAAUGGUAGUUUGAGAUAUAAUAUUAAAUUUGAUGCUUGGUUUGGAUUGAAUGCGGGAUAGAGUACAAUCGUGAUUUUGUGUGUUUUAUGUAACACCCCCUAACCCCAAACUGUCGCCAGAACAAGGUUACGAGGCAUUACCGGACAUGUCAAACAAUUUACAAAUAAUUCUUAAAUAAAUAACCAACAUAUUAAAAUAAUUCAUAAAUACAUAUAAAUUUCACUAAUUGAUUCCAUUCAUUUUUUUUUCUUUUAUAAAAAUUUCGGUAGCAUUUCUGCUUAUUUUUACAUAAAACCCCCUGCAAAAUUUCAAAACAUAACCAACCCAAUUCUAGUAUUUCAGUCAAGGCAUUUAUAUACUUAUCUUACUUGACAUAUUGACGUAACAACUUAAUUAAUAAAAAUCCUACUAUCAUUUCUAAUUAACUCAUAAAACUAAUCAAGUAAUUUCAAUUCGAUACCAAUGCCAUAAAUGACUUCUACCAUUUUACUAAUAUAAUCAUCAAAACACAUAAUAUCUUACUUUACAACAAAACUAUAUAACAUACCAAAAUAACUAUUAUAAUUCUUAUGUACAUGCCACUUUCAUUUAAGGAAGAAAACAUCACUGAAAACUCUAUGCAGGAGUCGGGAUUGUAACACCCCUUACCCGUAUUCAACUCUGGAAUAGGGCAUGAGGCAUUACUAGAACACUUACACAUGUAAACGUAUUAAACCGAGUUACAAAAUUUCAUUCAAAUUUAAACUCUUCAAAUUUUUAACAUGCUUUUAUAAUUCUUUACAACAUAUCCUCAAAAUAUUAUAUUCAUAACAAGUAGGGCCUACGAGACCUGAUACUUACUCAUGUAAUUCAAAGCUCCAUUUCCAUUUUAUUCAAUUCACAAUCUUUCAUGUUCACUGUAACACCCCUAACCCGUAUACGUUGCUGUAUUAGGAUUACAAGGCAUUACCGAGCAAACACAACCAAUCAAGAAAUAUAAUCAAGCUAUCAAUCAUACUAAUUAUCAUUUAUACAAAUAGACCUAUGCCAUAGUUGAAUCAUUUAAAUCAAUCACAUUGAACAUUCAACCUAGAAUAUAUAAAAAAACUAAGUUUAAACAUAAUGAUCAAGCCAUUUUUAACUAAACCGAAAUUAAGCAUAAGAAUUAGACUAUUAAAACAUAUUCUUUAAUACCAAAUUCAAAAACGAAAAGAGACAAGCCAUUUUCGCAUGGCUCAUAUUUACAUAUCAAAAAAUAAUUUAAACAUAUUAACUAGACUAUACAUGCCAUAGGUUCGAGUUCAAAAUAUACAAAAUACCAAGAACGGUCGAUAGUGUGAUAGACUAAGCUGACGAUCCCCGAACUCGUAACACGUCUCCAAAAUCUAUAAACAAAUAAACAAAAACAAUCAAAGUAAGCUUCUAAAACUCAGUAAGUUCAUAGCAUAUCAAAAUACAUAUUAACGAUCACUUGUAUUAUCAUUAUAUACAUAAAAAAAAUUAAGUUAUAUACAUCAUCAUUAAUUGCAUAUAUAUAUUCCAAAUAUACUUAUCGGCCACACGUGCCGAAUGCACACAUAUAUGUAUAUAUACUUUAGUUCACAUAUGCCGAACGCAUAGAUAUAUAUACUUACCAGACACAAAGAUUCGAGCUUUUAAAUGCUCUUCAAAAACAUAGCAACAGAUGUUCAUAUAUUAAUCCUAUAUAAAUAACCAAAUCAUAUACAUAUAUAUAUUCAAUGUAUACAAUCACUUAAUUAAAACAGAUUCAACGGCACAUAGACUGCUAGACUUAUAGCUUGAUUCAGAUCACCGGCACGUAGCCUGCUAGGUUUAUAACCUGAUUCAAAUCACCGGCACGUAGCCUGCUAGGUUUAUAACCCGAUUCAAAUCACCGGCACGUAGCCUGCUAGGUUUAUAACCCGAUUCAAAUCACCGGCACGUAGCCUGCUAGGUUUAUAACCCGAUUCAAAUCACCGGCACAUAGCCUGCUAGGUUUAUAACCCGAUUCAAAUCACCGGCACGUAGCCUGCUAGGCGCUUAGCCUAAAAAUCUCAAUUUCACAGAUACAAGGAUGAUUUCUCGUAUAUUUCUUAAUAACAACAUACAUUCAUAACAUUUAUAUAUAAUUCACAAUCUCAACUCUAUCUCAAGAAAAUUGGUAGUCCAUGUUUGAAUCAUGCAAGCAUUUAAAAUUUAUACUUUUAAUUCAAUGCAAAUCUUAAACCUAUAUAUAUAUACAAUCAACCAUGUAUAUCAAUAUAUAAUUCCAUACCUAAUUUCAAUACAUAUACUUUUAAAUUUUUAGCUCAUCAAAUAUAUAAUAGAUGUACAUUUAUAUUUAUAUAUAUAUACAUAUUCGAACUUAAUUUAUGCAUAUGUAUAUAUAUAACACUCAUACUUAAAAUUCAUUAUAAGAACAUAUACAUAUAUGUAAGCAUGCUUAUUCAAAUAUAGCAUAUAUAUAUAAAUUAUAAUUCACAUGUACAUAUCUAUUAAAAACUUCUCUUACAAUUAUGGGUUACAUAACUUCAAAUAAAUCCAUGAGUUUAUACACAUAUAUAUUAUACAAUUCUUUAAUUAAAAUCAAGAAUUUAUACCUAUGCAAUAUUCAUACUUUAACUAAUUUCAAUAACUUUUAUAUAUACAUGCUUAUUCGAAUAUCAACUAUACUCUUAUACAUUUCUUACCUUUAUUUCAACCCAUAAAUCUAUACAAGAUUAUACUUUUAUAUUCGAACAUUCUAUAUAUAUAAAUAUCAUCCAUACUUAAAAAUUUACUCAAUCAAUAUACUUUUAAUUAUAGCUCAACUCCAAAUACAAUUAGUAUACAUGAAUAAAUAUUAACAUAAUAAAUUUUAAUUGCUAAUAGACUUACCUCGGAUAUCAGCGGACACGAUCGACUAUUCGAUUACUUUCGUUUUUCCCCGAUCCAAAUUCGUUUUCUUCGUUUCUUGAUCUAAACAUAAUCAAAUUUAACUUUUUUUUAUUCAUCAAAACAUUCAAUUAAGUUCAAAAAUACAUAAAUAGGAAAAUUACCAUUUUGCCCCUAACAUUUUGCACUUUUUGCAAUUUAGUCCUUUUUGCACAAAACACAAAAUACACAAAAUUUGCCCAUACCACACAAGAGCCGAAUAUUCAUGGUUCUCAUACAUGUCCACACAUUGCAUUUAUUUCAUAUUUUAGUCCUUCAAAAAUUUAUUUUCACAAUUUAACUCUAAUUACACAAAUUCACUAAAAAUUUAAAGACAAAACAUGUUAAUCUAACACAUAUAUUUCAUAUUUCAUCAACUAACAUGACAAAACUCAAACAUUCAUCAAUGGCACAUUUCAAAAUCAUCAACAAUUCACAAAUUUAAUACAUGGGUUUUGAAGUAUUCAAAGCAUCGAUCUCAAAAACGUAAAAAUUAUCAAAAACCGAAACAAUUUCAUACCUUAAUCAAGCUAGUAAAGUGCCGAAACCCUAAAUGCCAUGGAUGUUUUCUUUCUUUGCAACAUUCGGCCAACAAAAGAGAUGAUAAUGGCUUGUUUUAUGUUUUGUUUUAUUAUACUAUACAUUAUUUAUUAAUUUACUUAUUUAACCUUUAAUAAUUAAUAAACAAAACAUAUAUAAUAAGGUUAUAUUAGUCCUUUGCCACCCACUAUCUAUGUUUUAGUCUAAUUGCAUCAUUAAUCCCCCAUUUUAAAAAGAAAACAACAAUUAGGUACUUUUAGAUUUAACCCCUAAAUUUUUAUUUUAAGCGAUUUAAUCCUUUUAUUUAAUCGGACACUCAAAUGACAAAAUUAAAACACGAAAAUUUCACACAAUUAAAUUCACACAUAAUAAACACACAAAAUAAUAUUAAAAUAUUUUUUUGACUCGGACUUGUGGUCCCGAAACCACUAUAUCCGAUUAGAGUCAAAACCGGGUUGUUACAUUCACAAUUCAAAUCAAUUUCUCAAUCCAAUACAUAUAUAUUUCAAUACCACACUCUCAUACUAUGAAACUUUAUUUUCCCAUAUGAGCUUAAACCAUGAUCAUCACAUAUCAAAGACAAAUGUUCUUGACAUUUUCAUCACAUAAACCGAAUUAAUCAAUGCAACUCAAUGAUAUAAUCAUCCUUAUAUCAUUAUUAUCACACAUAUAUAUAUGUCAUGACUAAAUUUCUUAAACAUUUGAUCAAUUGCUUUUCAAUACCGCAAUAGUUCCUUCAGUACCAAUACGUAUUUACCAUUCAAUUUAACAUUUACCGAUUAUAAUCGGCCUUAUGACCAUUAUACACAAUUCUUUCAUACAUUUUAUUGUCCUCCUCCUCCUCUCCAUUCCACAUCCUUUAUGUAUAAAACAUGCUUAAAUAGUAUUAUACAUAAUUUCACUUUCCACUUAUAUUUAGAUUUAAAGCUGUCUAAUCGAGUUACAGUCACCAAAUUAUUUUUAUCUGGAGCUACAGAGCUCCGAAUUAAGUUCCGCUAAUUUUCCCUGAAACUAGACUCACAUAUCUUCUUUCCAUAAAAUUUUCAGAAUUUUUUGUUUAGCUAAUUACUACAGUUUCUUCUUUAAACUCUCCCCUGUUUCACUGCUUAACAGCUCUAACUCCUCUUCACUAAAAAUUGUUUAUCUCUUUGUACAGAAUUCAAAUGAUGUUCUCGUUUGUUUCUCUUGAAAAUAGACUCAAUUAGGAAUUAAAUAAUGUAAAUUAAAAGCCAUAAUUAUUUUUUUACAAUUUUUAGUGAUUUUUAAAAGUCAGAACAGUGGAUUCCAAAAUCAUUCUAGCUCUGUCUCACUAAAAUUCAAAUAUCUCAUAAUAUAAAACUCAUUUUCUUGCUCUAUUUCUUUUACGUGAAAAUAUACUCAUUCAGCUUCAAUUUCAUAUAUUAUUCAGUCUCUAAUUCAAUUUCCACCAUUUUUGGUGAUUUUUCAAAAUCACACAACUAUUGCUGUCUAAACUGUUUUGUUGCUAAAUGUACACUUUCAUAAUUUCAGUUUUUCACUUUCAAUCACAAUUCAAUUCAAAAUUCACUUUUCCAUUUCUAAGUCGAUAUUCAAUUCAAUUCCACACCUAUAUUCAUUAACCAAUUACACUUAGUCAAUUUCCCGAUGAACACUUCGGAAUAAUAACAGAUACACAGUGGAUUCAGCACGCAGCAACCACUCUUUGUAAUCAAUUAUGCCGGUUCACAUAGUAGCAUGCACAUAGUACUACACAGGUGAACAUCACUAUCCGAUACACGUAGUAGCCUUCACAUAGUACUACACACGUGAUCGAAGCUAUCCGGUACACAUAGUAGCCUGCACAUAGUACUACACAUGCGACCUAUCAUUCUGAUACACGCAGUAGCCUACACAUAGUACUACACACGUGAUCAAGUUUUACGGUUCACAAAGUAGCCUUCACAUAGUACUACACACGUGAUCAAAGCUUUUCGGUACACCUAGUAGCCUUCACUUAGUACUACACAUGUGACCAUUAUUUAUCGAUACACGUAGUAGCCUUCACACAGUACUACACAAGUGACCAAAGCUUCUCGGUACACAUUGUAGCCUUCACUUAGUACUACACAUGUGACCAUUAUUUAUCGAUACACGUAGUAGCCUUCACACAGUACUACACACGUGUUCAUCGAUACCUUACUCAAAUUUUUACCGUUCCGACAGUUCCACAAAGAUUCUUACUUCCCAAUAAUUUACAAUUUCUCCAUAACACAUUAUAAUACCAAUCUUUCCACUCAACUCCAUAACCAAUUUAAUAAAUUGAUUUGAAUCACUUCAACCAUUACUUUCAUUUUCACAUAGUGGCCUACACACAGUCCAUACCACAUAUGUAAUCAUUUCUGUCACUUCAUUCAAAACAUCCAUUUUUAUUCCGAAUGUUCAAUCGGGAAAUUUCUCACUUUUUCUCAUUUUUUUUACUAAUCAAAGUCAAUUCCUUGUCUUUCUUAACUUAUAAUAACAUAUUUAGCUUAUAUUACAUUCACAUUAUUCAAUCCAGUCCAAAAAUCACAUUUUGGAAAAAUUACAUUUUUGCCCCUAAUGUUUCACAAAAUUACGAUUUUGUCCCUAGGCUCGGAAAUUAAACUUUAUUUAUUUUUCUUAUGUAAUAUAACAUGAUGAACAUUUUUCCCUUCUACAGAAACAUCAAAUUGUUGCUCUAAAGUGCACUUAUGAACAUUAGGUAUUUUUACCGAUUAAGUCGUUUUACUCGUUUUCGCUGAAAAUCGCUUAGCAAAAAUCGUUUAACAUAAUUCUAAGCUUCAUAUUCUAUCAUGAAACAUCAAAAUUCACACUUUUCAUCUAUGGGUAAUUUUUCAAACAUAAAUUCUAGCUCGAAUUAAUGGUAGAAAUAGCUUAAGCAAGUUAUCAGGAUUCGAAAAAUACAAAGAACAAGAAAAACGGGGCUAGAACGGACUUACCAUGAAGCUUGGAAGAUGAAAAAACCCUAGCCAUGGUGUUCCCUUGCUACAUACGGCCAUGGAGGAAAGAAUUGAAGAAGAUGAUAAUUUAUUUCAUGUUACUUUGUCUUUAUUCAUUAAUUAAGUUAUUUUACCAAAAUGCCCUUAAAUAGCUUACUUACUAACCAUGUCUAUUUUUGUCCAUAAAUAACCAAUGGUUGAAUUACCAUUUAAGGACCUCCAAUUUAAAAUUUCAUAAUAAUUAGACACCUCUAACUUGUAGAACUCAACUUUUGCACUUUUUACAAUUUAGUCCUUUUGACUAAAUUGAGUGCCCAAACGUCGAAAUUUUCGAACGAAAUUUUCACAAAAUCAUUCCGUGAAAUCGUAGACCAUAAAAAUAUAAGAAAAAAUUUUUUCGUUGUCGAAUUUAUGGUCCCGAAACCACUGUUCCGACUAGGCCCAAAAUCGGGCUGUUACAGGGAUUGUCCUGGAUGCUGAACUGAGACUCUGACCCCUUUUCAACAUGCGCACGGAAACAACCGUACGCUGAGUAUUUUAUACUCAGUGGUAUUACCAUAAUUCAAAUUAUAAUAACAAUAAAGAAUUAUAAUUACGAAGCUUGUAACUAUCCGAUUUCUUAAUAUCAAUUAAUUCAUAAACUUUCAUUAUUUAACAAUAACAAUACAAUUUUUUAGCUACCUUCAAUCUCAAUCACAUAUCACAUGUAGCAAUUUCAAUCACUACAUAAACAUUAAAUUCAUGCCUUUUAUUUUCAAUAUCAAUUUCAAUCUACAAAUUUUUAAUUUUCUCAUAUUCAAUACCACAAUCGAUCAAAUUCAUUUGAUUUUCUCAUUUCAAUUAUUCACCCUAUUAACAAUCUGGACUUUGACGGAUACACGGAUUCCAACCCAAACACGCCAAUACGGCACAUUGUGCCUAAAACGGUACAUAGUACCUAAUCAGUAUACGACACAUAAGUGCCUGAAAUGACACACGAGGUGCCUGAUACGACACAUAAAGUGCCUGAGAUACGACACAUAAAGUGCCUGAUCGGCAAAGCCGAUAAAUCCUGUACUCUUCCAAAUCCUAUUGCAUGCCAACUAUAUCCGACUUAGCCCGACUAGUUAAUAGGGUAUUCAAAUUCUCAAUUCUCUUUCAUUUUCAAUUCAAGAUCACUUUUCCACUUUCUAAUCAAUUAACAAUUUAAUACCAAUUCAUAUUUCAAAUAAUCACAUUCAAUUCAAACCACUUUUCAAUCAUUACACAAUUCACAUAUUCACACAUAUUCAUAAAUUAAUUCACUUUAUUUAAUUCAUAUUUUAAAUUCAUUUUUCAAUCAAAUUCAAAUCACUAAUUACUUUUUAAUCAAUAUACAUUUCAAAUACUCACAUAUUUCCUUCAUUCAAUUUGAUUUGAUUCAAUUCAAAUCACUAUUAUCAUUUCAAUUGCUUACCUAAUUUUACUUACCAUGCAUUUUAAUUAAAAUAUAACAAUUAAUAAUAAAUAGAUUUGAAUUAUAGUAAUACAAACCCGAAUUUGCUCGAUUAUUCCUCAACGACCUUCUCCUCCCCUUUUUGUGCUGAUACCUCGAAUUCUUUACUUGCUAUGAAAAUUAAAUAAUUAAAUAAUUAAUUACAGCACAAAUUUUACAAUAAAAAUAAAAUUUCUAUCAAAAUUUAUACUUUAAUUCCAAUUUAAUCCUAACUAGAUUUAUCUACUUUUCUAAUUUAAUUCACACUCUAUUUCUAUUCAAAUUUCUUCUAAACUCAAAUUUAUCUACUAAUUUUUCAGAAUUUUUCACUAAUUUCGAAUUUUUCUCAAUUUAAUCCCUAAAAUUCAAAACUUAUAGUUUAGUUUACAAUUCAAUCCUUUAUUCAAUUCCAAAUAAAAUUUCUAUCAAAUAAAUCCUCAAUUCCAUCAUUUAUUCAACAUAAACCCUACUCAAAAAUCUAUUAACUUUCAAUUUUUCAACUUCAAUCCAAGAGUAUUUCACUCUAGGAUUCCAAAAACAUCAAAUUUAUGAGAAAAUGACUUGAUUUAGCUUACCUAUUAAACUUCAAGCUUCAAAAUCUCAAUUUUCCCCCUUUCUUUUCUUUCCCUUUUUCUUCCCAUGUUUUCGACUCUUUCUCUGUUUCUUUUCUGUUCUUCUUCUCUUUUUCUAUUCUUUUAUUUCAUUUGUUUUCUUUUACUUUUUUUUAUAAUAAUAUAAUAUAUAAUAAUUAAUAUAAAUAUCUUUUACCACACAUGUCAUAUUCAUAACUAUACAUUUGUCCUAAUCUUAUUUAUCUCACAAUAUAAUAAUAAUAAUAAUUUAAUAAUAUAUUUUAACACAUAAAAAUAUUAAAUUUUUAUGCUUGUGCCGCCUCAAAUUUGGCAAUUGGCAUAAUUGCCUAUUUAAUCCCAUUUAUUUUAUUUUAAUCUAUAAUUAAACUUUCACUUUUAUUGUAAUUUAAUCCUUUUUACUAACUACUCUUAAUUAGACUAAAUUCACCUAAUUAAGCACUAAACUAAACUCAUAAUUACUUCUAAUAAUUAUUUUCGAACUCAAUUUACUAAGACGGAGGCCCGAUAUUAUAUUUUUUCGAUGCCCGUGAAUUUUUGGGUCAUUACAUUUUAGGGGUAUAGAGUGGAGAUGAUAUUGGAGGGAGAUGUCUGUAUAUUACCCGAGUAAAUUGAGGUUCAGCAUUUGUUGUGAACUCUCGUGUUAUACUCUAUGUCUGGUGUGUUUCGGUUGGAUUAGCUCUUAUGAGCUUCUAUCCGGCGUGUUUCAGUUGGAUUAGCUCUUAUGAGCUUAUGUCUGGUGUGUUCGGUUGAUUUGAUGAUGUACUCUUAUCCGUAAUUCGUUCUUCAAAUGAAAAAUCUCGGUAAGGUAAUCUGUUUAAUGAAUUUGAAAGAUUUAUUAUUUAUUGAAUAUUAAUCUGAACAUAGAAGAAUUCAUCGAUUGAAAUUGUGGAUGAUAGGGAAUUCUCAUGGUUGAUUAUUAUUGUUUGAAUUGUUGUAUUUGCUUCAGUAAGAUUUAUCGUUUAAUGUGUCGAACUUACUAAGCUUCAUUAAGCUUACUUGUAUUGUUUAAUGUCAUUAUAGAUUCUCGAAAGGUUGGACGAUCGGAUCGGCACUCAAGUCACACUAUCCAGCUCAAUUCGAUAGUUUUUGGAACGUUUAAUUUAUAUUAUAUGGCAUGUAUAGGCUCUUGUGUGAUUAUCGUUAAUGUUUUGGUUUAUAUAAAAACUAUGGAUGAUUUUUUGUUUAAAUGGUCAACUUAUAUAAUAUAUGAGAAUGAGGUAUAGUUUCUAUGAUAAUGUGAAUGAUAUGUAUGAAAGAAAUGUUAUGAUUGAGAUACCUUUGAUAGGUAUUUCAGAUAGGUAUUGCUUGAAUGAAUUGAUGAGUUGAAUUGAUAAUUAUUUUGAUGUAUAAUUAUAUAUACUUGUGGUACCAAUGAGAGUACAUUGGUUAGGCACUUAAUAGGUUGGUUUUGGUGUGUUUUUGGCUCGAUUAAAGUCAUUUUGAUUUGGUAUUUUGAUUGGUAUUUGAGUUUCUUAAGGUCCAAGCAAACUUGAAAUGGUAAUAUUGUGUUUUAAGGUUCAUUUUGGGUCCACACGGCCUGAAAUGGUAUUUGACUUCCAAACGUGUCGAGAUUCGAGGAAAUCAAUAGCAGGUUGUGCUGUUGUCCUAGGUGAUCUACUGUAAGUUGAUACGUCAAAUUAAACUCUCAAAUACACUUAAGGAGCUUAUCUUUAAACAAUUUUAGUGUCUUUUAUAUGUUUUUUAUUUUUAAUUUUAUUUUUAAUAAUUUUUUUAUUAGUUUCAAGUCAUUUCUGAUACCCAAAUUGGCCAAUUGUGGCAUGGACCUGUCCAUGGGCCGGGCGGCCCGGCUCAACGGCCCGCCCGAAAUAUGGGAGGGUUCGGGUAAAAAUAUAGGCCCGAAAUAUGGGCUUGGGCAAAAAAACGAGGCCCGUUUAAAAAAUGGGCCGGGCUAGGGCUCAACUUUUUUGGCCCGGCCCGGCCCGAAUAUAAUAAAUAUAUUUUUAUUUUUUAUUUUUUAAUUUUAAAAUACUUUAAAAAAUUUUUAUUUUUUUAUUUUUAAAAUAUUUUUUUGUGUUUAUUAAAAAUCGGGCCGGGCCGGGCCGGGCUCGGGCUUACUCUUUUUUUUCCGGGCCGGGCCUGGGCAAAAUUUCAGGCCCAUAUUUCGGGCCGGGCCGGGCCCGGGCCUAAGAGUCGGGCCGAAAAUUUUUCCCGAGCCCGGCCCGGCCCAUGGACAGCUCUAUUGUGGCAUGGGAAACCUAACAAGUUGAUUAAGUGAUGUAGGGAGUCGGCGGUGGCCUGAACAGGAAGAAAAUAUCACCUACAAGUGGGUAUCACGAUAUCAAAGUAUGGAAGUGUAAUACCCUUGAAAAAACUGAAAUGAAAAAAAUCGGGGCCUACUACUGUGACAUGAUGUCGAAAUCAUUUUUAAAUUUAGAAAAAAAUAGGGAUCGACUUUUAAAAUGAAAACGGGGAGUCGCCACCGAUCUUUUAUUGAGGUGUGAUCGGAUCACCUUAGAAAUAAUUUUAGGUCUGCGAAUUUUGAGAAAACGGGUUCGGGAGUCAGUUACGAACGAGGAAGGGUUAGCACCCUCGUGACGCCCAAAAUUGGUACUGAAUUGAUUGUUUAAUGUAUUAAUGUCAAAAUUUGAAAGGAUUUUAAAAUACGAUCCUUUUAACUUGAAUAAAUUGAAUAAUAAAACACUCUUAUUUCAAAGAAAUAGAAUGUCACACCCAGUGAGUUAAGGCGCAACAUUUUUAAUCUUCCAAAAUUAAGUUUAUCUUUUCACUUUUAAAACUCAUGCAUGUUGAGAAGGAUAUUUGGUUAUUUGGGUCAAAUGAAAAAAUCAAAACCCAGUAAGUUAGGGUUCAAUUUCCCAAAAUUCCUAAAUACCGCAUAUUGCCUUUAUUUUUAGAAGAAUCCUCGUCUCGAGAAAAUAACAUGUCAUAUCCAAUGCAUUAGGACACAACAUAUUGAAUUCCCGAGAAUGAGCUUUUAUUUAUGUGUUUUGAUUAAAGAAAAUUUGAUUAUUUAGAUUCAACGAGAAAAAUUAAAACCCAAUACGUUAGGGCUCAAUUCUCUCGAGGAUUCCAAAUAUUGUGUAACACCCCUUUCCCGAGACUGUUGCCGGAAUCGAGUACGAGAUGUCAUCCAAUUUAACUUACCAAUUCGGAGCAUAAAAAUUUACUUUUAAAUUAAAUUCACUGUUCACAACAAAACUGUCCACCUGCGUGACUGUCACUAAUUUAAUUAUAGCUCGAGUUACAGAACUCGAAAUUUAAAUCCGUAAAAUUUCCCUGAAACUAGACUCAUAUUCCUACUUACCAUAAAAUUUUUAGAAUUUUUGGUUUAUCCAAUUAGUACAGUUUAUUCAUUGAAGUCUCCCCUGUUUCACUACUUAACAGUUCUGACCUCUUAACACUAAAAAUCAAUUAUCUCAUUGUACAGAAUUCAUAUAAGGUUAUAAUUUAUUUCUUUUGAAAAUAGACUCACUAAGAAAUCUAUACAUAUAAAUUUUAGCUUAUAAUUAUCUCUGUACAAUUUAUAAUGAUUUUCUAAAGUUAGAACAGGGGACUACAAAAACCAUUCUGACCCUGUCUCACUAAAAUUCAAAUAUCUCAAAAUACAGAAUUCCUUUGCCUACACCGUUUCUUUCAUAUAAAAAUAGACUUGAUAUAUAUAAUUCACUCUCUAAUUCCAUUUCUACUAUUUAUGGUAAAUUUUAACAUUCACGUCACUGCUGCUGUCAAAGAAACUGCUUCUUUGAAUUAGUUACUAUUUAACAUACAUAACACCCAAAACAUAAUUUUUACUAACUAUUUCAAUAGCUAAUCUUAGCCAUAUCAUUUGAACAUGCUCAAAAUGAUUAAGACUCUAUACAUGCCAUAGUUUAAACAUUUUGAAAAGCACAUAAUACCGAGAUGAUUAUGAUAGUGUGAUACAAGCUUCGACGAUCCACAAUUCGAUCAAGUUCAAAUCACUAUAAAACAAAGGAAAAGAAGAAAGGUGUAAGCUACUAAUAGCUUAGUAAGUUACAUGUAAACAAUAGGUACUCAUUUAAUAAUUAACACUUUUAAUAUAUAACUAAUCAAAACAUUUCUUAGCAAUUUCAAUCACUUACACAUGCACAAUCUUACCAAUUCACUUGCAUAUACAUUUUCACACUUAACAUUUAUCACAUAUGCUCAUUCUUUCAUUUGUACCUGCAUACACACUUUAUUUCAUAUUCAUUUUAACUCAUUAUUAAUCACAUUGAACACUCGGAAUAUACACAGAUACGUAGAGAUUUAGCACAAUAGUGCCACACUGAUAUGUAGCCGAAGCUACCACUGAAUGUAGCCGAAGCUACCACUGAUCAAUAACACUGGAAAUGUCCACGGGCCUGCUCACACAAGCUGUCAGGUGUCUGCAACACAUGCUAGAUCACCCAGCACCCGGGACUCACUGUAACACUGAUCUCUAGUGACAUGUCACUUGUAUCCACUUCUAUUCCUAAGUUCAACCGGGAAUUUACACUUAACACUUUAUUUUUUUAACACUUUAACACUUGAAUAAUUCAUGAACAAUUUUCCUUCCACAUUCAAUAUUAAUUCACAUAUCAAAUAUAAUUCACAAUUCAUAAAAAAUAUAACUGUUAUUUACACGUAACUUACCUCGGAUGCAAAACGACUAUUUUUGUAAUUUAGUCGAUAACUUUCUCUUUUCCCCGAUCACUUCCACUAUUUCUUCUUUCUUGAUCUAUAUUAACACAAUUUAAUACAUUUUAUCAAUAUUCCAUUCAAAUACAAUUCAUACACAACAUUUUGGCACAUUUACAUUUUUCCCCAUAACUUUUCAAAAAUUCCACUUUUGUCCCUAAGCUCGUAAAAAUAAAAUUCACUAAAUUUUUAAAUUUCAAACUUCACUAAAUCAUAUUUCAUGCUCAUAACAGCCCUCAAUUUCACAAAAUCACAACUUUAUGCACACUUUACCAUCUUUCACAAUUUAGCCCUUUUUCAACAUUUUCAUCAAAAUUCAUCUAGUAAAACUUGUAAUUAACACUUCAAACAUUCAUUAUCUAACAUCACUAAUCAAUUUACAAUUAUAUCAUGAAUGGGUCAAUUUUUAAACUUUAAUUUCAUUUAAAUUAAAUGGUAGAAACAUGAAAUUCAAGCUUCAAUAAGCAAAAAAAUACGAAAAUAAUUAAAAACGGGGCAAGAAAUCACUUACAAUUGAGCUUAGGAAGUUCAAGAACCCUAGCUAUGGUGACAUGAAUUUUUUUGGCAGCAAACGUCUGAUUUUGAAGAAGAUGGACACUUAUUUUCACUUUAUUUUGUCUUUUAUUCACUUUUGACAAAAAUGCCCUUGACCCAUUACUUAGAUAUUUUUCUAGAAUUACCCUUUUGUGUCCAUAUCACUAAUUUAUGGUCUAAUUGCCACAUAAACACUUCCAAUUUCAUGCAAUAAUUCAAUUAAGUCAUUUAAUCACUAAUUAGACACACUUUGCAUUUUUCUCAAUUUAGUCCUAAAAAUUCAACUAGGCACUAAAUCAUUAAAAUUUCCUAUCCAUAUUUUCACACAAUAUUUCAAUCAAUCAGUAACUAAUAAAAAUUUAUAAAAUUAAAAUAUUUCACUUCGGAUUUGUGGUUACGAAACCACUAUUCCGAUUAGGCCCUAUUUCGGGCUAUCACAAUUCUUCCCCCUUAGGGAUUUUCGUCCCCGAAAAUCUUACCAGUGAAUAAGUUGGGAUACUGUUUCCUCAUAGCCUCCUCGGUUUCCCAUGUUGCCUCUUCCACUCCAUGUCGUUGCCAUAACACUUUCACUAAAGCAAUUUCUUUGUUUCUUAACUGUUUUACUUCUCGUGCUAAGAUUCGAAUCGGCUCUUCUUCGUAUGUCAUAUCCGAUCGAAUUUCCACUUCAGUCGGUGAAAUCACAUGCGAUGGGUCCGAUCGAUAUCGCCUCAACAUAGAAACAUGAAACACAUUAUGAAAUCUUUCCAAUUCCGGUGGUAAAGACAAUCGAUAAGCCACUGGACCAAUUCUUUCUACCACUUCAUACGGACCAAUAAAUCUUGGACUUAAUUUACCUUUAUGGCCAAAUCUCAGAAUUUUCUUCCAUGGAGACACUUUCAAAAAUACUUUAUCACCCACUUGAAACUCAAUCUCUUUUCUUUUCAAAUUCGCAUACGACUUUUGUCGAUCCGAUGCAGCUUUCAAACAAUCACGGAUUAUCUUCACUUUUUCUUCGGUUUCUUUUACCAAAUCAACUCCAUGUAACUGAUUUUCAUUAAGUUCAGUCCAAUAUAAUGGAGUCCGACACUUUCGUCCAUACAACGCUUCAUAAGGUGCCAUUUUUAUGCUCGAUUGAUAACUAUUAUUAUAUGCAAAUUCCACCAAAGGUAAAUAUCUUUCCCAAUUACCUUCAAAUUCCAACACACAACAUCUCAACUUAUCUUCGAGUAUUUGAAUUACUUUUUCAGACUGUUCAUUGGUUUGAGGGUGGAAUGCCGUACUAAAAUUUAAUUUAGUACUCAAUGCCUCUUGUAAUUUCUUCCAAAACCUUGAAGUAAAUCGUGGAUCUCUAUCAGAUAUAAUAGACAUAGGCACACCAUGUAAUCGAACUAUCUCAGCAAUAUACAAUUCAGCUAACUUGUCAAGUGAAAAACUCAUUCGCACAGGAAUGAAAUGAGCCGACUUAGUCAAUCGAUCAACUAUAACUCAAAUUGAGUCUUUCUUUUUCGGUGACAAUGGCAAUCCAGAAACAAAAUCCAUAGUAAUUCUAUCCCACUUCCACUCGGGCACCAUAAUAGGUUGAAGUAAUCCUGAAGGUACUUGGUGUUCAGCUUUUACUUGGUGGCACACUAAACACUUUGUCACAUACUCGGAGAUAUCCCGUUUCAUACCCAACCACCAAUAUAAUUUCUUCAAAUCAUUGUACAUUAUUACACUACCGGGGUGAACUGCCAAACGACUAUCAUGUGCUUCUUGCAAAAUUUUCUGAAUUAAAUCAACAUUUUUCGGAACACAUAUUCUGUCACGAAACAUUAAACAUCCAUCUGAAUCAAUCCGAAAAUCAGAAUUAUCAUCCAUUGCACACUGAGUCUUUUUUCUUUGCAAUUCAUUAUCCACUUUCUAAGCCUCACAAAUUUCUUGAAGAAACAAUGGUCUAGCUUUUAACUCUGCAUCAAUGUUAAUCUCGUAUUCAAAGCUCUCAAAGCAAAGAGAGAUUUUCUGCUCAAAGCAUCAGCAACUAUAUUGGCUUUUCCCGGAAGAUAAUCUAUCAGCAACUGUAUGCUCGUCGUAAGGAAGCCAGGGCCAGGCCAAAACUGCAUGGUUACUGCACAAGGAAGGAAUGAUCUUGGAACAAACUCAGCCAUUGUGCUUCAAAACUACACCAUCUCGGGCGCCCCUGAUUACAUCCCAGUGAAGGAUACGAACAAGGCGUACUUGAGGCGUCCUUGGAAACAAUUUGCUAGGUCCAUCAUACUGCAAUCUAGGAUCGACGACAUCAUUCAACCAGAGGGUUAUGCCCCCAUGACAGGCACCAUAGGAAUAGACACUUCUUUCAUUGCCGAGUUUGGAAACAGGGGACCCGGUGCCGAUACCAGCCGUAGGGUAGCAUGGAAAGGUAUCAAAAAGAUAGAUAUAAAUGAAGCCAACAAAUGGACUCCUCGCGUCUUUCUCGAAUCCGAGACUUGGAUUCUGAGUUCCGGCGUUCCCUAUAGUCCCGACAUGGUCCUUGGAGUCUAAACAUCUUAUUAUCGAUACCAACGCCAUUAAUAUGCUUAUUAUCAUAUCAUUUUUCUAAUUAUGUCAUUUUUUUACUAAUUAAUUAAACAGUUUUUUAAUCUUUUAUCUAUCUAUGUAUAUAUGUUGAAUUCUUUGGUUUCUCGAUUGUUGUUUCCAUUCACUUAUUAAUGAUGUUUGCAAGACCCAAUAAUUAAGUCAACGUUUAAAUAUUAUUGAACUUAAUUUAAUAUAUUUUUUAAGGAUUAUUUGGAUUGAUUAAAUAGAUUUAAUAAAAUGAUUAUUAUCAAACUUAAUUGCAAGAUUUAAUUCAGAUUAAAUCUAAGAUAGUUUGCUUCUUUUGAGAGUCAGACUUCAAGCUACCCUACCUAAGGCUUUGCAUGUUUACAAGCCUAAAAAAGGAUACCCAGUACUAUUACUUCAUUUCUCUAUAAAGAGUGCAACUCUAUGUCUAGAGUGCUACGAGUAUUCUAUCGAGUACUCCCUUGUAUCAUUUGAUCACAAUCCAACUUAUCUAACCUUUUCAGAAUUAAAUCAAGUUUAUGGACAUACCAUACAUUUAUCUAUUUCUAGAGACUGCAUACAUUUUAAAAUAGCCCAAAUCAAAUGAAAUAGUAAAUCUAAUCAGGAUAAUACCUUGGUCAUUAAAGAAACUAAAGAUCCAUCCAGUAAUCCCAACCCGAUGAGAUUAGCUCAUGAGUUGGAAACUAAAAUCCAAAAUGAAAGUAUCAUUCAAUAACAUAUUUUCACAGUUAAAAUUCAUAAAAAUCAAUUAAGAUAGUGAAGGAAGAACUUCAAGAAGCUUUCACCAAUUUAGCACCAACUCCAGUGCUGCAAUAUCUUACGAAGCCCAGGAUUGAAUGCUUUUCCUUCUUCCUUGCAUUGCUACUCUAUUCCUUAUUUGCUACCCUCUUUCCUUACGUCUCUAGAUCUCUCACGAGAAAUUAUGUGAGAGGAAAAAUCGCUCUCUCUCCUCUCUUCUUCCUUCUUUUUAUAGGGUAAGUCCCCCUCUCAGCACAACUCUUUUCUCCUUUUUUAGGUGGAUAUUUCUAGUACAAGUACAACUGGCUGAGAGCGCAACGAAUUAACAGUUGAGUUAGCAUCUUCCUGAAAUUGCCAUGGCAUUUGUAUUGGCAAUCUAUCCAACGUUUUGACAUGACAAAACUUCACUCAUUCACUUAUUUUCCUCCUUUCUACACCUGCUAUAAACAACAAGCAAUUUCUUUCCUCCCACGAGUAAAAGUAACAUAUAGUGACAUUGAAAGCAAAAUCCAAGCUUCAUGAUGCAAUGUUAUAAAAAUACUACUAUAAUUUCCUAAAAUACAACUAAAUUUACUCAAGUAUGAAUAAUUAACCAAGUCUAUAAGCUUGAAAUAUAACUCUUUUCAAGAGUUAUCACACCCCCAAACCUAAGUUAUUGCUUGUCCUUAAGCAAAAUAUGCAUGAAUGAAUUACCACAACAACAUAAUUACCUUUUGUAAUGCCAAACCAUGUAAACAUAUUUUAUACUUCAGUUCUCAGCAAUAUUUUGUUUCUAAAAAUUUGCCCAAGUUUCAUAAGCUUGUUUAGCAAAAUAAGUGCAGAAAAUGUUGCUCUAAAAAUAAAAAUUUCUAAUUACUCAUGCAAUUUUGACUAUAGCAAGUACUUCCUAAUGUACUUAGUGUAUUUGUUAUCUAAGCUCAAUUUUCUUUUAAUAGAUGAAUACAUUUUUCUUUUCUAUAAUGGUCGAUUCUAUCAAAAGUCCAUGGUCAAUUCUCACAUGUGUUCUAUUUGUGUUUUUUUAUUGAAGGUUAAAAUCUGAAUCGCUCGAAUCACUGUUGACAUCAGAGGUUAUUCGCAUCUGUCUUAAGCCAAAAAGUGUAUGUGGUGAUUCCGAAAAUCAGAUUUGAAUAGCCAUUAUUUUCUCCGAUUUGGCCGAACCUUAUAAGGAGAUUAGUGGUUGAUUUCUAACAAUUGUUUCUUUGUGUUAAGUACAUAUCUAAACCAGAUUUAAUCAUAUCUAAAGCAUAGGAGCUGCAGACUACUAUUAGUGUUUCGGAUUUGUGUUAUUCAGGUAUGGGUCCUAACUUUGUAUGUUUGGUGAUUGUUGAAAGGUUGUAUGUAUUUUAUUGGCAUUGGUCGAAUGUUUUAGGGCCUUCAAGUGUAAAUAACCAAGUGUGUAAUGCUAUAGGUGUUAACCGGAUGUAUGCUAUAAGUGUUGAUCAGCUUAAUGCAUGUUAUUACAUGCCUUGUAUUGUUAACCAUGCUGAUUGUUACUACAUAAAUGGAUUACAUGUAAAAAAAAAUUCUCUGAUUGAUUUUUUUUAUCGAAUGCAUGUUAAGCAUGCCACCAUUAUUGAAAUUAUUAUUGACAAGCAUGAUAUGCUACACUAUCGGUAUGUCAUAAUGCAUUGCAUGGGGAUUGGGAUUGAUUGGUGACAGAGGAGUUUUGUGGAGUACCAGCGGUUUAUCUGUAAUAUUAUACUAGAAAUUAAUCUGCAACCCUAAAGUAAGGUUCGGAGUACUGGGGGUUUAUCCACAAAUUAUUGGAAGUCUAAUUGAAAAAAUUGUUACCGGUGGCUCUUCCUGUUUUGGUGUUAGAAUGAUGAGCUCUGAGAAAUCAUGGUGUAUAAUAGAUCGAUGGGUAGAAAAUAUACAAUGUUUUCAUAAAAGCAUGCCCAUAUAUAUAUAUACUAUAUUUUUAUGAUGUCGUACUCUACUAUGAUCUAAGAAAUGUUGUUGGCUAUACGCUUUACUGUAGUUUGAAUGUCUACAUGUAUAUACAAUGUUUACUAUGUUUCAGACUCGCAUGGAGCUUUUUGUAGCUCACCCCCAUAAUUUUAUCCUUAUAGAUAAUCCUUGAGGUUAGGUUUGGACAUGACAUUCGGAGGUUUCGUCUCAGUUUUAUUUAAUAAAGCAAUUUAAAUUUUACUUUAUUUUGUUAUGGUUUUUGGGAUUGUAAUUUUGUUAAUUUUGGGUUGUGGCAUGGUUUCUUUGUAACUUUGAAUUUCUGCAUGCAUUCAAUUUCAUUAAACUGAACAGACCUAAUAAAUCUGUUUAACAUCAUACUAAAUAAGGUUUAAAGUAAAAACUGAUGGUUUCAAUUUUUCCAAUGCGAAACAAGAAAAGGAGUUAUGAAAAGCAAAUCGACAAACCAAAAAGCAAUUAAGUGGAAGUGUUGAUAACACGAAAGAAAGUCAAAUAUUGAAGGUGACAUGAAAGGGGUGACGUUGCAUAGUAUUGAUAACAUGGGUGUAAACGAGACAGAUGAAGUGGAAGUAAGCAACCGGGGCAAAGAAUGUGAGUGUGCAAGUCCAAUUUAGAGAUGGAUCGGACACUAGCGUUGUGACAGCCCAAAAUUGACCCUAGUCGGGAAGUGGUUUCGGGACCACUAAACCGAGUCAUAAAAAUAAUUAACCGUCAUAAUUGAUGCUCAUUAUAUGUACAUGUGCAUGUGUGAAAAUUUUGUGUUUGAAUUUUGUUAAUUGUAAGUGAAUUUUAUCAAAUAGGACUUAUGUGAGAAAAUUUUGAAAUGUGCUAGGCAAAUGCAAAGUGGCCUAUUAAUGCAUAUUGUGAAAAUGAUGGGUUUGCAUGUCAAUUUACCCAAAUUAAGGCAUAGUGGCCGGCCAUGCUAUGAGUGGAAACAUGUCACAAACAUGUUAUGUUAGUGAGGUAUGUUAGGAAAAAUAAAAUAAGGAGUAUGGGUAAUAAAGAAAUGGAAACAAAAAAAAAGUGUGGUUGUUUCCCCCCCAUUGCCGUGAGUUAAAGAAAAGAAAAGAAAAAAUUUUGUUCAUCCUUUUUCAUCUUCUUUUGGCCGAAAAUUCUAAGGAAGGAGGAAGGAGUUCUUGCUUCAUGUUUGGUUUGGAAGAGGAUUAGGAGGAGGUUUGGCCAUACUUGUAUCUAGAUCAAGGUAUGUUUGAGGUUGUGCCAUGAGAUUCAUGCAUGUUUUUAGUUGCUAGCUUGAGUUCUAAUUAGCCCAUGGUUCAAAUCUUUGCUAUGUCAUGGGGAUGAUAUUCGGCCUAGGUGGAUUUUGUGUUAAUGCCAUUGCAUGCUAAAUAUGAAGCUUGUUAAUGAUGCAUGUGAUGGUGGAUUGAUGAUUCUUGAAUCUUCUUUUUAGCAUUUUUGAGUGAGCACAUAUGUGCAUUGGUUGCUAGAUGGAGAAGAAUCGGCUAGCAAGUUGUGUGCUAAGGCCGAAUAUAAUUUUUGUAUAUUAAUGAGUAAUGCAUGUGUUAAAUUGAUGGAAAGGGAGAGGAUGCUUUACUAGUGUAUAUAUGUGUGUAUUAGCCAAGUUUUGAACUUGAAACAAAAUGGUGUUUAGUCAAUACAAGUAACCAUACUUGUAGAAUGUAUUAAGUGUUGCAAUCGGCCCCAACAUAGACAUGUAUGUUCGGCCAUAGGUAGCCUAUUGAUGGCUUUAGCUUGACUUAGAAAAUUCGGCUAAGGGGAAAUAUUAGCUAGUAUGUUGAAUUCGAUUCGUGAUUUCGUACACAUGUGACUCUAAUGUCUAAUGUAUAUAUGGGCUAAGUACCUUGAGCUUCUCUUUUGAUGUUCGAAUGAAUUGUAUUAAAUUGCUUGAUGUGAUUAAAAAUGCGUAUGACCAUUGUGUAUUUGAGCUAAAAGGGUGGCCAUAUGACCUAUCAAACUCCUUGUCAUAUUCGGCCAUAAGCUAGCAAAAUGAGACUUUAAUGAGUUAAAUUUGUUUGAAUUAGCUCAAGAGCUUAGAGGACCCCAGUUGGAUAAGGGAAAGGAAAAAGUGGUCGAGUAGCCAUCGGAAUCGUUCGACAACAUCCGAGGUAAGUUCUUGAGUAAAAGAGCUUAAAUUAUGAUUUGAUUAGAUCAUGUUUUAAGCAAAUCAAAAUCAUGCUCCUUGUGUGUGGCUAUUGAGCCGAAAUUGCAAGAAUGAUAAGUGUCUUGUGUUUGAGUUUUGCUAACGAAAACGAAAUACGAAUGUGCCAUGAUUUAUUGUUAAAUGUGCAUGGUUAUUUGAAUGAUGUCCGGGCUAAGUCCCGAAGGCUUUGUGCUAAGUGACCAUAUCCGGACUAAGAUCCGAAGGCAUUUUUGCGAGUUACUAAAUCCGGGUUAAGUCCCGAAGGUAUUUGUGCGAGUUACUAAAUCCGGGUUAAGUCCCGAAGGCAUUUGUGCGAGUUACUAUAACUGAGCUAUGUCCCGAAGGCAUUUGAACGAGUAGCUAUAUCCGGUUAAAUUCCGAAGGUACGUGAUUUGGGAAUGAACGAUCUUGCUGUAAAAAUUUCAGUUAAUACGCUUGAAAUAUCCCAACAUUGAGAUAUGUUUCGUAUGUGCUUUGAAUUAGUUGAGCCCUUACAAAUAAGUAUUCGCUCAGUUGAUAAAUGAGCUAUCGGCCUUUGGCUAGUUGAUCUUUGUGUAUGAAUAAAAGGGUUGGUAAUGUGAAGUAAGUAUGAUAUUGAAAAAUUGUGCAUAUGAAAUUAUCCGUUUAGCUACAUGAAUGCUAUACUUUUGUUAUGCUGGAAUCCCUUGCUCAAAACUUACUAAGCAUAAAUUGCUUACUCCGUCUCCUUGAUUCUCUUUUUUAUAGAUUUUGGUUCUCCAGCUAUCGGACUCGGGAUUUUGAAGUCGAAGUCGCCCACACUAUCAAAGCCCCCCCCCUUUUGGUACAAUUUUGAUUGAACUUCGAAAUGGCAUGUAUAGGACUACCCUUUUUGUUGGGGGUCAUGGACCCUUUGGACUUGUAUAAUUUUGGAUAGCCAUGCGAAAAUGGCUUAUAUAUGUUUGAGUAUAAUGUUAUAAUCAUUUGGUAUGGAUAUGGUUAUUGAGAGGUGUGGAUAUGCUUAACAAGGAUUGGCCAUGGGAAUGGUUAAUCACUAUCAUAAUUUGUGCUAUUUAUGCUAAAAGGGUUAGUUGAAUCAUGGAAACUAUGAAAUAGGUAAAGUCUACCUUAAAGGCAGAUGCUGACAGCAUCAGUGAUGUAGAUUUGGAAAAUCACUAAAAAUAGUAGGAAGGGAAUUAAAUAGUGAAUAAAUUAUGUAAACGAACCUUGAUGAAUCUAUUUUCAUAGGAAAGUAACGAAACGAUCAUAUGGACAGUAUGUUAAGAGAUAUUCAGGUUCUCGUAAGACAGGGCCAGAACGGUUUUUGGAUUCCCUGUUUUGACUUUGGAAAUUCAUUAUAAAUUAACCAGAGAGAGUUAGGAGUCAUGCCAUAUAUGUAUAGAUUCCUAUUUGAGUCUAGUUUCUAUAGAAACACACGACAUCAGUAUUGAAGCCCUGUACAGGGAGAUAUCCAAGUCGUAAUGCGCAAAGGUCAGUGUUGUCGAUCCCUGUAACAUGGGAUACUUUGACUAAUAAAUUGUAUUAAUUGGCCCAACCAAAAAUUCUAGAAAAAAAUAUGUAGAUGGGCAUAUGAGUCUAGUUUCAGGGAAAAUUUACGGAACUGGAUUCCGAGUUUCUGAACUCAAGAUAUGAUUUUUAAAGCGACUAGUACGCAGAUUGGCAGUGUCUGGGAAAUUUGUUUAUAAGUGGUUAAAGUCUGUUAACACCUCGUGUUCGACUCCGGUGACAGUCUCGGGUUCGGGGUGUUACAAGCGUUCAGCCAAUCAAAUGGGAAUCAAGGUUUCGUUGAAACAACUGAGGUGAUGGGCAGAGAUAAUAUGACUACAGACAAGGAAUUGGUUGAAAUUACAAAUAGGAUAUUGUAGAGGACUAUAUAGUCAAAGGAGGCAACAAAGUUAAGAAAAUUGAGAAAGAAGAAACUAACGGCCAGUGGUGCACACAUUCCGACUUCAAAAAUAGGAAGAACGCGUUGAAGUUGGGUAAGAUUGCGGAAUUACAAGUUGGUGGAGAUAAGGAUGAAGUUUUGAGACAUUUGGCAGCAAUUAGAGUUAGCUCAGUUCAAAGAAUGUUGAAGUUUGAUUUUGUUUUUUUCUUUGGUGUACCAGUCAGUUCCCUCGAACUUUCUUCUCUGAACCUUUCCUAAUGUUUCCCAUGAAUCCCCGGUGCUAGCAUGCAAACUAUCUUAUGUUUCUCCAAAAUAAGACCUUCUCUCGAGUUUGGAUGCUCUUGGGAUUCAUUACCAAAGUUUGACAGACAGAUGAAACCAGGGUGUUUGAAACUUCUCCCCAUCUCAAGGCUCUAUACGGUUUCUGCAUCUGGGUUUUUUAAACACUGAUAACAGUAUCUUACAUGCUAAGUCUAAAAGGAAACAAGGAAUUCUUUUGGAUCAUUUAUUUCGAGUUUUCUCAUAUGUCUUGUUUCUCUUUGUCCAAAGUUCCAUUAUUUUCAUCCCAAACUUUCAGUAUGAUAAAAAAAAAAUUAAAUUGAGGUGAAAAUAAUGGAGAGCAAAUACAUAAAAAAAUAUUAAAUAAAUUGAAGAUGGAAAGUGAGUAAGUGACCAUCCUAUGCACAUAAAAAUAUUAAAAAUUUGAUAAGAAAUAUUAAAUAUAAAAAAUAGUAUUUAAUAAUACGAAAUUAUUUGAAUUAUAUAUAUGUAAUAUUAUUGUACCGCAUAAUUUUACAUGGUAAUAUUAUGAUUAUAAUUUUUAUUAUUACAAUUGCUACUCAUGCACAAGUUUGCUUUCACUAUAAAGAACGCAUAAUAAAAGUUAAAUUUUAAACAUAUUAGAUAAAAUAAAUAAAUAAUAAUUCAUUUUAUAAUAUUAGUUUAUAAUAUUAUUUUUAAAUCAUCUUAAAUAAUAAUAUUUUAAUUAAAAAAUAAUUUUGAAAAAAAAAAGAAUGCCACAAAGAAUGAAUAUAUACACCUUAUUAUAUUAUAUUAUUUAUGAUAUGAUAUGAUAUGAUUUCUUACAAAUGUUUCAAACAACGUUAGUUAUCAUUUAAUCCACAAAGCUGUAAUUUAUAAGUGUCAAAAAAAAUCUUAAAAUAUGAAAGCUAAUCCUUUGUGGAAUGUGAAAAGAUUUUAAAAAAUAAUAUUUAAUUUACAAUUUAGCAUUUAAAUUAAAUUUAUAUAUUAAUUAUUUCGAUACUUAAAAUAUUAGUUUAUCUAAAAAAUAUUUUACUCAACCAUAUAUAUAAUAUAAUUAUAUAUAAUUAUAUAAAUUACAUCCUAGCAUUAGCCUUGUUUUGAACAAUUUCAAAGCGAGAUUUUAAAAGAAAAAGAAAAAGAAGAUUAAAACACCAUAAUUUUAUAGAGCGAUUAAUAUCCUUGAAAUUUAAACAAAUUCUCACAUCCGUAGGACACUCUCCACCAUUAAACAUUUUAAACUAAAUAUGGCCAUUUUUAGGGUUUUAACUGAUUCAUUUUUUAAUAUAAAUAUGGAACUUCAAUAACAUAUUAUUCAAGCCUGUGCUCGAGGGGCCAUAAGUGAUAAGCAAUAAGCAGCCCCACAACUUCAAAUAAGGUUUUCUUCUUUCUUGCUUUCUUUUCUUCAAGGGAAAGAAAGAGGGAAGAAGAUAUUUUUUUGAAACAAAAAAGUUGUUUAAAAAUGGCGAAUAAUGCUAUUAUUGGUAUUUGUGCGGUGUUUUUGGUAGCCUUGGUGGUAGCUGUGGUGGUGGGUGUUACGCACAUAAAAACUAAGAGUGAUGGUGAAGAGAUAUCGAGUUCGAACAAAGCUGUGCAAGCUCUAUGUCAACCCACAAAUUAUAAAGAGACGUGCCAAAAAAGCUUGGCGUCGUCAAAUUCUAGCGACGUUAAGGAGCUGAUAAGGACAGGUUUCCAAGCUGGGCUAGUUGAGAUAAAAAACGUGUUGGCCCAUUCAGUAACAGUCCAAGAGUUGAUUAAGGAUGAGAACAACAAAGCGGCACUUGGCGUUUGCCAAGAGGUGUUGGACUUAGCCAUUGAUGACUUUCAAAAGUCAUUCGACAUGCUAGGGGAAUACGAAAUGAGCAAGAUCGGAAAAUACCUUUUGGAACUAAAGACCUGGCUAAGCGGUGCAUUCACGAGUCAACAGACAUGUAUAGACUCAUUUGCGGAAUCAAGUAACGAAUCAUCGCAGAAGAUGCAAUCAAUCUUGAAGACUAGCAUGGAGAUUACUAGCAAUGCUUUAGCGAUGCUUAAUGGGUUAUCCACCAUCGUGAAGGAACUUAACAUUCCAAACGUCGGCAACAUCGACACCACAGAGGUUAAUCGUAAGCUUUUGUCGGCUGAGGAUAUGCCUGAGUGGAUUAGUCAAGCUGACCGAAAACUCCUUCAAGCAAAGCCAAUGGAUUUGAAGCCUAACGUUGUGGUUUCUAAAGAUGGUAGCGGGAAAUAUGAUACUAUUAACAAGGCCUUGGCUGAAGUCCCCGUGAAAAGUCCCGAUCGAUUUGUUAUUCACAUUAAGGCUGGUACUUACAAGGAGCAAAUCAACGUGACCAAGCAGAUGACUAAUGUUGUAUUCAUCGGUGAUGGCCCAACCAA
rnacentral:lncRNA from 1 species